UCUGUCAACUCUAACCUAACUUACACAUGCAAGUCUCCGCACCCCCGUGAGAAUGCCCUACAGUUCCCUACUUGGGAACAAGGAGCUGGUAUCAGGCACAAUCUAGCCCAAGACACCUUGCUUAGCCACACCCUCAAGGGAACUCAGCAGUGACAAACAUUAAGCCAUAAGUGAAAACUUGACUUAGUUAAGGCUAGGGCCGGUAAAACUCGUGCCAGCCACCGCGGUUAUACGAGAGGCCCAAGCUGACAGACGCCGGCGUAAAGAGUGGUUAGGAAAAGUACAACAAAUUAGAGCCGAACGCCCUCAAGGCUGUUAUACGCACCCGAGAGUAAGAAGCACAACAACGAAAGUGGCUCUAUUAUUUCUGAACCCACGAAAGCUAAGGCACAAACUGGGAUUAGAUACCCCACUAUGCCUAGCCUUAAACAUUGAUGGUUUAUUCAAACCAUCCGCCAGGGAACUACGAGCAUUAGCUUAAAACCCAAAGGACUUGGCGGUGCUUUAGAUCCACCUAGAGGAGCCUGUUCUAGAACCGAUAACCCCCGUUCAACCUCACCUUUCCUUGUUCAACCCGCCUAUAUACCACCGUCGUCAGCUUAUCCUGUGAAGGUCUUUUAAUAAGCAAAAUUGGCAAAGCCUAAAACGUCAGGUCGAGGUGUAGCGUACGGAAAGGGAAGCAAUGGGCUACAUUCCCUACUUAGGAAAUUACGAACGAUACAUUGAAAUAUGAAUCUGAAGGAGGAUUUAGUAGUAAGAGAAGA
rnacentral:rRNA from 1 species